GGCCUCGUCGUUCAACGGUCAGGACACCCGGUUGUCUCCCGGGAAACGAGGGUUCGAUUCCCUUCGAGGCCG
rnacentral:tRNA from 1 species